rnacentral:lncRNA from 1 species
UGAAUUUGAAUUUAAAUUAAAUUUUAAUUUAUAUAAAGUUUUAUUCAAAUUUUAUUUCAAACUUAAAUUAAAUUUAUGAAUUCAAAUUAAAAUUUAAAUUGUAAUUUUAAGUUUGAAUUUGAAUAAAUUAAAAUUUAGUUUUAUAUUUUAAAUUAUCCACUCAACUUCAAAGUUUAAUUUUUUUUAAAAAAUAGAUUUAAAAUUUUGACAUUAUUUCAAAAUUUUGAUGUAAAUUUUUAAUAUUUAAUAUUUAAUUUAAAUUCAAAUUAAUAUAUUAUAAAGAUAAUGUUAGUAUAUUAAUUUGAUUACGUUUUUUAUAUCCACCUGAACCAAACACUAACAAUGGGAAUGAUUUAUUUCGAAUCCGAUUCAAGUGAUAAACCAAACAAAAUUAGGUAAUGAGUCAUUCCGAUUCCGAUUCCAAUUCCAAUUCUAGCUUAUUUGAUUUCGUUUUCGAUUCCGACUCCGACUUCGAACCAAACACGUUCUUAAAGUGUUUAUCUUUGUUAAGUCAAAAUUUUUGAGCAGUUCUCCUAUACACCACUUUA